UGGGGAAUAUUGGACAAUGGGCGAAAGCCAGAUCCAGCCAUGCCGCGUGUGUGAAGAAGGUCUUCGGAUUGUAAAGCACUUUAAGUUGGGAGGAAGGGCAGUAAGCGAAUACCUUGCUGUUUUGACGUUACCGACAGAAUAAGCACCGGCUAACUCUGUGCCAGCAGCCGCGGUAAUACAGAGGGUGCAAGCGUUAAUCGGAAUUACUGGGCGUAAAGCGCGCGUAGGUGGUUCGUUAAGUUGAAUGUGAAAGCCCCGGGCUCAACCUGGGAACUGCAUCCAAAACUGGCGAGCUAGAGUAGGGCAGAGGGUGGUGGAAUUUCCUGUGUAGCGGUGAAAUGCGUAGAUAUAGGAAGGAACACCAGUGGCGAAGGCGACCACCUGGGCUCAUACUGACACUGAGGUGCGAAAGCGUGGGGAGCAAACAGG
rnacentral:rRNA from 1 species